rnacentral:misc_RNA from 1 species
GUAGGUGAACCUGCGGAAGGAUCAUUAUCACGUAUUAAUCCACGUUAUAAACCCUUUCUUUGAAAUGUUUUAUUACAUGUUUUGGAAACGGAAUUGGGCAAUGGGCGACGAAGUAUGACUUGCAGGUGCGCCCUGCAUGAAAUGGGUUACUAUUGUAAUUUGAAAACCCAGACUGCUUCAUGUAGCUAGGUGUGUGUUCAAUCGUUAACUGUGUGUUAACUUCUGAAGCGCAAGCCUAUUUGUAAUUUUU